rnacentral:rRNA from 1 species
CAAGUCGAACGCGAAAGUGGAGCAAUCCAUGAGUAGAGUGGCAAACGGGUGAGUAACGCGUGGGCGACCUACCUUCAAGUGGGGGAUAACCUUCCGAAAGGAGGGCUAAUACCGCAUGACAUCCUGCCUUUGGAUAGGCGGGUAUCAAAGCCGGGGAUCGCAAGACCUGGCGCUAGAAGAGGGGCCCGCGUCCGAUUAGCUAGUUGGUGAGGUAACGGCUCACCAAGGCUCCGAUCGGUAUCCGGCCUGAGAGGGCGGACGGACACACUGGAACUGAGACACGGUCCAGACUCCUACGGGAGGCAGCAGUGGGGAAUUGUUCACAAUGGGCGCAAGCCUGAUGACGCAACGCCGCGUGGAGGAUGAAGAUUUUCGGAUCGUAAACUCCUUUCGACCGAGAUGAAUUCCUGCCGACCUAAUACGUCGGCAGGGUGACAGUAUCGAGGGAAGCAGCCCCGGCUAACUCCGUGCCAGCAGCCGCGGUAAUACGGGGGGGGCAAGCGUUGUUCGGAAUUACUGGGCGUAAAGGGUUUGUAGGUGGCUUGCUAAGUCAGACGUGAAAUCCCUCAGCUUAACUGGGGAACUGCGUCUGAGACUGGCAAGCUUGAGUGCAGGAGAGGAACGCGGAAUUCCAGGUGUAGCGGUGAAAUGCGUAGAUAUCUGGAGGAACACCGGUGGCGAAGGCGGCGUUCUGGACUGUAACUGACACUGAGGAACGAAAGCCAGGGGAGCAAACGGGAUUAGAUACCCCGGUAGUCCUGGCCCUAAACGAUGAAUGCUUGGUGUGGCGGGUAUCGAUCCCUGCCGUGCCGUAGUUAACGCGUUAAGCAUUCCGCCUGGGGAGUACGGUCGCAAGGCUGAAACUCAAAGGAAUUGACGGGGGCCCGCACAAGCGGUGG